UCAUAUCAAAAUUUGAGUUUUGGGUACGUCAGCUGAUGCUUUCUUACUUUUUCGAUUAUUGUUGUACAUUAGAUUACUCUAUGAUUUUGGUAAAACUGUGACUGCACUCUUUUUACAGGGUGAACGAACUUGUUGUUCUUAUGUUUCAAGUUUUCUAAAGCUUAGCUCUCUCCUAUAGCUGGCCCUAAGUAUUUUUGCUAUCGUGGAGUAGUCGAUUAAUAAAUAUAGUAAUAAAAUUUUAUGUUUUCGAAGUCGAAACUGAACUUCUCAGCUGGUUCGAGCCCACGGGUCUUCUUUUGUUCCUACUGGCACCAUGGUAACUAUGGUAACUGUGUGAAGUAUAGGAAGUUGAUUUUUUGGUAUGUGUGUCUUAUUUCCGUAAUUGCUUUGAUUUUAGCCACCAAGAUUAAGCAUCUAACUUGAAUGAUAUUCAUUCUGUUUUGCAGAUUUAGAAAUAUGUAGGUGGGAUAAAAAUUUAUGUAAUUGUCUAGACUGGUCUGUUGAUAUUUUCUUGCUUUAUCCCAAGUUUUAAUGUGUGUGAUUCUAAUAUUGUUCUUGAGCGUGUUCAGUUUCCUCGAAUUUUGUAAGUGUAACUUAAAAGUUGUAGCGAUUUCAUAGAAAAUCUAGCUAUACAAAUUAUCAAAUUUUUGAUAAUAUAUAAACGCCAACGAAAAAAAAUAGGUGGGCAGAGUUAUAUAAAUUGAUGGCACCCAAAAAAGGAAGGUUUUCUUAGUUCGACAACUAGGAAACAAAGAUGAACUAAAAAGGCGUCGUCAAGCUGACAGUAUAAUUUUGUCACCUUCUGAAGCGACUGACCUCUUUCUGUGGCAAUCCUAAGAUUGAAAAGUGAGAGAAUGAACUUCAUCUGUCCUAAAUCCUCAUCACUAACCAUUUCCCUCAUCUUUGCAUUUCUUGAUCGGUCGCUUAAGCACAUAUCCAUCUUGUUCGUCCUCAUAUCUCUCUCUAUAAAUGCCUUUGCUAUAUUUUUCUUUUUCAUGGAUCGAUUGACUUAUUUUCAACAUAGUAAGAUUGAUUAUCUUUUUAAAUAUCUUGAAACUAAAUCAUAAGAUUUGUUAAAUUUGCGAUGAUUGUAUGGUUCCUAAUUUGUAUUGACCAGUGUUCUAAAUUCUGUCUACAUGUUUAUCUGAAAAAAUACGACGUCGCAAGGCUUUGAUUUUAGUUGCCAUAUUAUCAAGUUCCUUCUAAGUUUUGUGUAUCGGUCAAAUUUGUAUAGAAGACGAAAUCGAGAAAAUUUAAAUUUUUUUCUAUCUUAGGUCCAGCAGAGAUUGUAUUGUCUUUAGGUGUUCUGUUUAUCCGUCAUGAAAGUUGAAAGUGACUCUUACUGCUCUUGUAGUUAGUUGUAUGAAAAUAUUGCUUUGCACACAGGGAUUUGUGGAGAAGCAAAUGAUGUACAUAGUAUGAGCUUUCUUAAUUGAACAACAGCUACAAGCGACUAUCGCAACUCUGUUCAUGUUCACAUGCAGAGACUUUCUUGGAUAUGUUGUGCAGAUGUCAACAUAAGAAAUUUCUUGGGCCAGGGGUCGAUUUUCCAGUUGGAAAUGUGUCGGGUUCUUGUUCUUAGCGUAGUGCCCAGCUUGCUUAGCAACCAAAGCUAGCUUACUAAGGCACAAGACGAGAAUACCAAUCAAGCGAUUACUGAAAAAUACUUCUACAAAAGUUAAGCAAGCCAGCUAAACAGACCAUCAAAUUGAAGUCAGUGCUACCAAGAAAAUUACAGAUGCUAAAUUUGCUAAAAAAUUUCAAGUUGUAUUGAAGGAGCUUCAAAAAGCUCAGAGGCUUGCGGCUGAAAAAGAUACAUCACAUUCACCUUUCAUUCCACAAGUAGUUCUUCCUUCUAGAUACUACUGUUAUUAAGUUAACUGGUAAUUGCAUUGGCUACGCUGAUGGUUCUCUGGAUAAGGCUAAGUUCAACAAACCUAGAAGCUUUGCUAUUGAUUGAAAAGGGAAUAUUUAUGUUGUUGAUAUGAAGAAAAUGUGUGCAAUUAGAAAGAUUAGCAAGCCAGGUAUCUAGAUAUAGUUGUGAUAUUUUCUUAUUUUGCUAUUUUGUCUGGUCUUACUGGUUGUGUUUGAGCUGAUAUAAGUGUUUUCUAUUAAAAAUAUUAUACUGAAAAUUCAUAUCAGGGUUUUGAUUGGGGUGUAAAGUUGAAAGACUAUAAUAGUUUGAAAGUUGGAGUCAAGACUUGGUGUUUAGUGAUGCUUGUAAGUUAUAAGCAUGCAAACUGUGAAAAUAACUUUGAUAUGUUUAGAGGAGCAAGUAAAGAAUGGCAUGCAAGGGAAAAUGUAGAAAAGCACCCACUGGACACUUCCCGUUCUUGUAACUGGAAAAUAGUCUCCGUCAUGGAGUUCCAGGAUGAAGAAUUUGAAAAAAAAGAUUGUAUUACAUAAAGAUUAUAGAGUGAUUAUUCGCAACAAGAAGAAAACAUUUAUAUUAUGAAAUAAG